ACAGGAAGUGCCCUGCCUAUAAAGGAAGCAGGAAGUUGAGGGUUCCUUCUUUAAUCUUCAAGGCUGCACAGAGCAGGCAGCAACAGAAAUGGCAGCCUGAUCAAAACAAGAUGAAGAGCUGUUAGCAUGUUUGCUACACCACGCUGCUUCACCUGCUUCAUUCAACAUUUGGUGUUUCCUUGCUCUGAACUCUGAAGAGUAGGAUCUGUGCUGCAGCUGGAAGGAGUUUCUUUGGAUUAAAGUUUACUUGUUAGCUGUUUUAGUUUGCUUUCAGCUAUAGUUUAAAGUCUGUUUUCUUUAAUUUUCAUUUGCAGUUUUCUCUGAAUACACUUUAAUAAUAAAAUGUCUUAAUUUGUCUCAUGUUUGUGUUGUCAGCAUCUUUAAUGCCUAAUAGAUGUUUUGUAGUAGUUUCCUUUGUCACAAAGCUGUGAGAGUUGCUUUCAUUAGAUAAAAGAAUACAAGGAACAAUGUAAGCUUUAAACUACUAUAAAUAAAACACAAAUGGCAGAUAACCAGAGCACAGAAGUCACUGAUGCUGAAUGGAUAAAGCAGUAGUUUUAUUACAACAUUCAGGAGACAAGUUCACAUCAGCACAACACAAUAAGGUGUCACCGGCAUCCCCAUUGGGUAGGAGACUCAAAGGGUUCUUA